rnacentral:rRNA from 1 species
AACGAACGCUGGCGGCAUGCCUAACACAUGCAAGUCGAACGAUGCCUUCGGGCAUAGUGGCGCACGGGUGCGUAACGCGUGGGAAUCUGCCUUUCGGUUCGGAAUAACUCAGGGAAACUUGAGCUAAUACCGGAUAACGUCGCAAGACCAAAGAUUUAUCACCGAAAGAUGAGCCCGCGUAGGAUUAGCUAGUUGGUGAGGUAAAGGCUCACCAAGGCGACGAUCCUUAGCUGGCCUGAGAGGAUGAUCAGCCACACUGGGACUGAGACACGGCCCAGACUCCUACGGGAGGCAGCAGUGGGGAAUAUUGGACAAUGGGCGAAAGCCUGAUCCAGCAAUGCCGCGUGAGUGAUGAAGGCCUUAGGGUUGUAAAGCUCUUUUACCCGGGAAGAUAAUGACGGUACCGGGAGAAUAAGCCCCGGCUAACUCCGUG